rnacentral:sRNA from 1 species
CAGUUUCAAUUUGUUGGGGGCAAAUGAAGUGGAUGUGCGAAUCGAUACCGCCUGCGGUCAGUAUCAUCCCUUCCCCGGCUAAAGCUUCGGUUCCAGGGCCAAUAAUAAUAUUUACAUUGUCUUGAAUAUAAGGAUUUCCGGCUUUACCAAUUUUAAAAAUUUUGCCAUCUUUAAUGCCAAUAUCUGCUUUUAUAAUUCCCCACCAAUCAACGAUUAAAGCAUUAGUAAUUACCAAAUCAACGGCACCAUCGCUGUUAGAAAUUGGCGAUUGUCCCAUGCCAUCUCG